rfam:Freshwater sediment metagenome lwMethenol_BCHA11233_x1, whole genome shotgun sequence.
GAAGAUCCCGCCGGGGUAGCGGCUAGCCACCGGCCCCGUAUCGAGUCUUGCAGCGCGGGCGGCAACGGCCGCGUUGAUGCGUAGAUACGAAAGCAAGCGAGGACCAAUGGAGCUGGGCGGNCCCCAGUCCGUGAAGGUAUUGAGCCCCGAAAUCUUGUUCCUGACGGAGCGCGCCGAGGUGAUCUGCAUCACCGCAGGCAACACCCUGCGCCGCGCGGCGGCGAGUGGCGUGGGGGCACCCGGGGUCGGAGGCCG